rnacentral:rRNA from 1 species
GUUUUCCUUCCUGAUGGAGGAAAGUUUUACACAUUUGUGCUUGCAACCGUGUGCUGGGCUAUAUGGAAUUGCCGAAACCAAGCUACCUUUGAACAGAAAAAAUUAAAGACUCCUUUCACUGUGAUUUAUUCUGCUUGUGGUUUCAUCUCUUAUUGGGCAGGGAUGAUGACUGGGACGGACCGGGAGGCGAUGGAGAGAGGAUCAAAAAUGCUAAGAGCCAGCGCAUCAAACAUGAUGAGGAUUUGUGCGGCUUCAGGCAAGAUGGAGCAGGACUGA